rnacentral:rRNA from 1 species
AGGGUUUGAUCAUGGCUCAGAAUCAACGCUGGCGGCGUGCCUCAGACAUGCAAGUCGAACGAUUAAAGCUCCCUUCGGGGAGUGCAUAAAGUGGCGCACGGGUGAGUAACACGUAAGUAAUCUACCCUCGGGUGGGGAAUAACAUCGGGAAACCGAUGCUAAUACCGCAUAAUGCAGCGGCACCGCAAGGUGACAGUUGUUAAAGAUUUAUUGCCUGGGGAGGAGCUUGCGGCAGAUUAGCUUGUUGGUAAGGUAACGGCUUACCAAGGCUACGAUCUGUAUCCGGUCUAAGAGGACGGUCGGACACACUGACACUGAAUAACGGGUCAGACUCCUACGGGAGGCAGCAGUCGGGAAUUUUGGGCAAUGGGGGGAACCCUGACCCAGCAACGCCGCGUGAAGGAUGAAGUAUUUCGGUAUGUAAACUUCGAAAGAAUAGGAAGAAUUAAUGACGGUACUAUUUAUAAGGUCCGGCUAACUACGUGCCAGCAGCCGCGGUAAUACGUAGGGACCAAGCGUUGUUCGGAUUUACUGGGCGUAAAGGGCGCGUAGGCGGCGCGGUAAGUCACUUGUGAAAUCUCUGAGCUUAACUCAGAACGGCCAGGUGAUACUGCAGUGCUAGAGUGUGGAAGGGGCAAUCGGAAUUCUUGGUGUAGCGGUGAAGUGCGUAGAUAUCAAGAGGAACACCUGAGGUGAAGACGGGUUGCUGGGCCAACACUGACGCUGAGGCGCGAAAGCCAGGGGAGCAAACGGGAUUAGAUACCCCGGUAGUCCUGGCCCUAAACGAUGAAUACUUGGUGUCUGGAGUUUUAAUACUCCGGGUGCCGUCGCUAACGUUUUUAGUAUUCCGCCUGGGGAGUACGCUCGCAAGAGUGAAACUCAAAGGGAAUUGACGGGGACCCGCACAAGCGGUG